rnacentral:tRNA from 1 species
GCCCGGGUGGCGGAAUUGGCAGACGCGCUAGAUUCAGGGUCUAGUGGGAGCAAUCUCGUGCAGGUUCGAGCCCUGUCCCGGGCACCA